AUUGAACGCUGGCGGAAUGCUUUACACAUGCAAGUCGAACGGUAGAGGGGGCAACCCCUCGAGAGUGGCGGACGGGUGAGUAAUAUAUCGGAACGUGCCCAGUCGUGGGGGAUAACGUAGCGAAAGUUACGCUAAUACCGCAUACGAUCUAAGGAUGAAAGCGGGGGAUCGCAAGACCUCGCGCGAUUGGAGCGGCCGAUAUCAGAUUAGGUAGUUGGUGGGGUAAAGGCUCACCAAGCCAACGAUCUGUAGCUGGUCUGAGAGGACGACCAGCCACACUGGUACUGAGACACGGUCCAGACUCCUACGGGAGGCAGCAGUGGGGAAUUUUGGACAAUGGACGCAAGUCUGAUCCAGCCAUUCCGCGUGCAGGAUGAAGGCCCUCGGGUUGUAAACUGCUUUUGUACGGAACGAAAAGGUCUCUCUUAAUACGGGGGACUCAUGACGGUACCGUAAGAAUAAGCACCGGCUAACUACGUGCCAGCCGCCGCGGUAACAC
rnacentral:rRNA from 1 species